UAGAGUUUUAAUACUCCCAAACCCACUGUGAACCUUUCAUGUUGCUUCGGCGGGCGGCCCCUCGGGAGGGGCCAGGCCGCCCCUCGCAGGGGUGCCCGCCAGAAGACCAACAAACUCUGUUUUUUUAUGGCAUUCUGAGAAACCAAAAAACUAUCA
rnacentral:misc_RNA from 1 species